CUCUGAUCAGCCAUGCCGCGUGCAGGAAGACUGCCCUAUGGGUUGUAAACUGCUUUUAUACAGGAAGAAACACUCUCACGUGUGAGAGCUUGACGGUACUGUAAGAAUAAGGAUCGGCUAACUCCGUGCCAGCAGCCGCGGUAAUACGGAGGAUCCAAGCGUUAUCCGGAAUCAUUGGGUUUAAAGGGUCCGUAGGUGGAUGAUUAAGUCAGAGGUGAAAUCCUGCAGCUCAACUGUAGAAUUGCCUUUGAUACUGGUUGUCUUGAGUUAUUAUGAAGUAGUUAGAAUAUGUAGUGUAGCGGUGAAAUGCAUAGAUAUUACAUAGAAUACCAAUUGCGAAGGCAGAUUACUAAUAAUAUACUGACACUGAUGGACGAAAGCGUGGGGAGCGAACAGGAUUAGAUACCCUGGUAGUCCACGCCGUAAACGAUGGUCACUAGCUGUUCGGACUUCGGUUUGAGUGGCUAAGCGAAAGUGAUAAGUGACCCACCUGGGGAGUACGUUCGCAAGAAUGAAACUCAAAGGAAUUGACGGGGGCCCGCACAAGCGGUGGAGCAUGUGGUUUAAUUCGAUGAUACGCGAGGAACCUUACCAGGGCUUAAAUGUAGAUUGACAGGUUUAGAAAUAGACUUUUCUUCGGACAAUUUACAAGGUGCUGCAUGGUUGUCGUCAGCUCGUGCCGUGAGGUGUCAGGUUAAGUCCUAUAACGAGCGCAACCCCUGUUGUUAGUUGCCAGCGAGUCAUGUCGGGAACUCUAACAAGACUGCCAGUGCAAACUGUGAGGAAAGGUGGGGAUGACGUCAAAUCAUCACGGCCCUUACGUCCUGGGCUACACACGUGCUACAAUGGUAGGGAC
rnacentral:rRNA from 1 species